rnacentral:lncRNA from 1 species
CCUCUAGAGCAAUGUAGAACACGGCUUAGAGCAGAAGUUCCAAGGCGGCGAGAUCAGGGCUGGAAAGAAACUACGUUUCAGGUCUUUGUAUGAGAGGUCCCCAGUAGUCUGUAGGAGUCCAGGAGAAAGCGAGUUCUUUCUCAACUCGUGAAAGAGUUGGAAGCUAGACAGUCUGUGACCUGUCUCCCUUUGAGGAAACAAGGCAGGGCUUUGUCCCGUGCACUUCGAAGGCAAUGUAGCACACGACAGAGUAGAAGUUCUACUUCAGCGUGAUCAGGUUUGGAAAGAAACUGCGUUUCACAGGCCUUUGAACGAGAUGUUCCCAGUAGGCUGUAAGAGCACUGAGGAGAGCGAGGUGUUUCUUGGCUUACCAAAGAGCUUGAAGAAACACGCUUUGUGGCCUGUCUUCUCUUGAGGAAACAAGGCAGGACUUUGUGCCUUGCAACUCUAGGCAAUGUAGGACACGGCAGAGCACAAGUUCUACUUCAACGAGUUCAGGGUUGGAAAAAACUGCGUUUCAUGGGCCUUUGUAAGAGAUGUUCACAGUAGGCUGUAAGAGCACUGUGGAGAGCGAGAUGUUUCUUCACUUCCCAAAGAGCUGGAAGGAAGACCAUUUGUGGCUUGUCUCCUUUGUAGGCAAUGACACAGCCCUCUGUGACUUCCACCUCUAGAGCAACGUAGAACACGGAUUAGAGCAGAAGUUGCAAGGCGGUGACAUCAGGGCUGGGAACAAACUGUGUUUCAGGUUUUUGCAUUAGAGGGUCUAGGUAAGCUGUAAGAGCCCAGGGAAAAGCGAGUUCUUUCCCACCUUGAGAAAGAGCUGUAAUCAAGACGCUUGGUGGCCUGUCUCCACUUGAAGAAACAAGGCAGGACUUUGUUCCAUGCAACUCUAGGGCAAUGUAGGACACGGCAGAGCACAAGUUCUACUUCAGCGAGUCCAGGGCUGGAAAGAAACUGCGUUUCACAGGCAUUUUAGAGAGAUGUUCCUGGUAAGAUGUAAGAGCACUGUGGAGAGUGAGUUUUUGCUUUGAUUCCCAAAGAGCUGGAAGCAAGACCGUUUGUGGCUUGUCUCCUUUGGCAGCAAUGACUUAGUGCUUUGUGUCUUCCACCUCCAGAGCAAUGUGAGACAUGGCUUAGAACAGAAGUUCCAAGGUGGUGCGAUCAUGGCUGGAAACAAACUGCAUUUCAGGCCUUUGUACGAGAGGUUCCCCAUAGGCUAUAAGAGCCCUUUGGAAAGCGAGUUUUUUCUCACCUAGCCAAAGAGCUGGAAGUAAGAGGGUCUGUGGCCUCUCACCUCAUAAGGAAGUCAGGCAGGCCAUUGUGAUUUCCACCUCUAAGGCAAUGAAUUACACGGCAGAGCAGAAGUUCUCCUUCAGCAACAUAAAGGCUGGGAAGAAACUGCGUUUCACAGGAUUUGUGAG